rnacentral:lncRNA from 1 species
ACGGACAGCCCAUUCCCUCAAACACGGAUAGCCCACUCAUGCACACCACUCACGUGGACCAAGCCAAGCGUAUGGGCCCGCCAAAGUGCUUCAUCAACUCCAGCACAUGGACACUUGCACGGACCGCACCUUCACCGUGGGCCAAAGCGCCUCAACAUCACAUGUGGCCAGCACUUCAACACACGCACAUGGCCCACACUCCCACUCCAUCAACUCUAGCACUUGGACACAUGCACAUGGCCCAUUCCCGCACAUUCACGCGCACGUGGACCAAGCUCCCGCA